UCCGGAAUAUAAACGACGAAGUUGUUGCUCAUGCAUCAAAGAGAUGAAGUUGAAUAUAAACGAGAAAGGCAGUUGAUUGUUUGUAAAGCUUAGUGUUUUGUUAGUCCUCAUCUUGAACUAUCAAGAACCCCUAGUAUGCUCAUUCACUAGUAACUGUUUGUAGCUUUUACAUGUACUCACUGAGCUGGAACUCUUGAUUGCCAUUUGUUAGGUAUAUGGCAGUUAUCUAGGGAUAAAUAGCAAUAUUUAUAUUGGUUUCAAAUCGUG
rnacentral:lncRNA from 1 species